UUUUUGGCUAAGGGUGUGCCUAGAUAUGUUGUCCAGGUGGAAGGGCCAGGAAUGGGAAUAUUCUUCCUGGUGGCCUAUCCUACUGUGGCUGAACUGGUACCAAGAUGCAAGACAAAGUCCUCUUUACCCUUUAUUCUCUUCUCCUUAAGAAGAAGGAAGGCGUCACUGUUGUUGCUGUGAGUUGCAGUACCUCCGACUGGGGGAGAGAUGAUGGAACUAAAGCCUAAAAAUAAGAACAAGCAGUUUUAGUGUGCUUUAGAUUCAGCUGGUUAUCAAGUGCCACUUUGCAGAUGGAGACCUUGAGGACUAACUCAACAAGCCAACAACCAAGGUCGAAGAUGGUCUUGAGGGCAAAAGUGAAAAGUAUAGCCACUGUCCAUCAUGCAUGCAGAUGGCAUUAACCAAAUAUAGUUUCCCAUGCAAUACUGUUGAUAGAGAUGGUUCAAGGAAUAGAAGAUCUCUUUUUGGAUCUUGACUCAGCUCAGGUGGUAUAAUUACUUCUAAAACAAAUUUACUGUCAUGUAAUAGAGAAACAGACAAAACUGCAAUAAAGAUAGAUCUAUGAACCCUUCAUAACUAUAGUUUUUCAGGGAGGACCAUUGGAAAGAUUUUUUUAAACAUCAAUGAAUGGGAGUCAGGAAAAGGCUAGGCAAGGAGACGGGGGGAGAAGAGAUGAACAGAACAUACUGGUAAAAGGAGCUGCAGAAUGAGAACUUCUGUUGCAAAUUUUCAGGAGUGCCUGUUUGAAUAAACACAGAAUGCCUAUAAUGUUUCUGGUUUUCCUAUUAUGGCGGGUGGUAUAGAAAGUGUUAAUUUGGUGUAGAUUAAAACUUGGGACACCAAAUAUCAUUGUUUCAUUUUUCUGUGAUGCCCCUUGCCCUAUAAAGAAAGAAAACAA